rnacentral:rRNA from 1 species
UGGUGGUGUGAAUUGUCUGGUUAAUUCCGUUAACGAACGAGACCUCGACCUACUAAAUAGUGCAAUUAAUUCUUCGGAAUUGAUCCGCGCUUCUUAGAGGGACUAUCGGUGCUUAGCCGAAGGAAGUUCGAGGCAAUAACA